rnacentral:rRNA from 1 species
GACGAACGCUGGCGGCGUGCCUAAUACAUGCAAGUCGAACGAACCGCGACUAGGUGCUUGCACUUGGUCAAGGUGAGUGGCGAACGGGUGAGUAACACGUGGGUAACCUACCUCAUAGUGGGGGAUAACAGUCGGAAACGACUGCUAAUACCGCAUAGGACAUGGGAUCACAUGAUUCUGUGAGGAAAGGUGGCGCAAGCUAUCGCUAAGAGAUGGACCCGCGGUGCAUUAGCUAGUUGGUAGGGUAACGGCCUACCAAGGCGAUGAUGCAUAGCCGACCUGAGAGGGUGAUCGGCCACAUUGGGACUGAGACACGGCCCAAACUCCUACGGGAGGCAGCAGUAGGGAAUCUUCCGCAAUGGACGAAAGUCUGACGGAGCAACGCCGCGUGAGUGAAGAAGGUCUUCGGAUCGUAAAGCUCUGUUGUUAGAGAAGAACAGCGCAUAGAGUAACUGUUAUGCGUGUGACGGUAUCUAACCAGAAAGCCACGGCUAACUACGUG